CCGGGUCUCGACCUCUCCAACCCGCUGUUUAUUGACCACGUUGCCUCGGCGGACCAGCGGACGAGAGUCCGCCUCUGGCUCCCUCUGGGGGGCUUUUGAGCGUCCGCCGAUGGGACCAUUCUAAAACUCCUAUGAAAACAAGCCCUCUGAGUAAAAAUUUAAUACUUCAAAACUUUCGACAACGGAUCUCUUGGUUUUGGCAUCGAUGAAGAACGCAGCGAAAUGCGAUAAGUAAUGUGAAUUGCAGAAUUCAGUGAAUCAUCGAAUCUUUGAACGCACAUUGCGCCCUCCGGUAUUCCGGGGGGCAUGCCUGUUCGAGCGUCAUUGCACCACUCAAGCUCGGCUUGGUAUUGGGCCCUCAUCCCCGGUGGAUGUGCCCGGAAAUCAGCGGCGACGCGGCCGGGUUUCAGGUAGUAUCGACAUAUCUUCCGCCUGAAAACUCGGGCCCGGGUCUGCCGGACAACCCCCGUACUUCUCAGGUUGACCUCGGAUCAGGUAGG
rnacentral:rRNA from 1 species